GCUCUGACAUAUCUCAUAGAUAUUCUUACAAAAUAUCACUAUCAAUAAAUUGAAGCCCACCCGCUUAGCUCAGUAGGUAAGAGGGUUGGUCUACGGAUCGCGGGGUCGUGAGUUCGAUCCUCGGAUGGGGCGUAUGUUCUCCGUGACUAUUUGAUAAAUGACAUUGUGUCUGACAUCAUUAGUCCUCCACCUCUGAUUCAUGUGGGGAAGUUGGCAGUUACUUGCGGAGAACAGGUUUGUACUGGUACAGAAUCCAGGAAAACUGGUUAGGUUAACUGCCCGCCAUUACAUAACUGAAAUACUGUUGAAAAAUGGCGUUAAACCCAAAACAAACAAACAAACAAUAAAUUGAAGAUAAAUGCCCUGUUAGACAACUUGUGGGGAAUGUUGAGAGACUGUGCUUUGCUUGUGGGGAAUGCUGAAAGCUUCUCCCUUACUUUUUGUGGAGUAUUGAAAGACUGACCAUAACUUCCUGGGGACAAGGUUAUGCAACUGAGAAACCUUAGAGCUGUUAGUUAAAUAAUUGCUAGCAAAGCAGACAACAAAAUAAAUGAACAUAGAGUUUUAUUGCCUCCAUAAAAGGGUAAAUCUUAUUUAAAUUACAAAUUGCAUCUGUUUACUUGAACAGGCAAUUUGAAAAAAAAAUAGAAGAUAAUGAAUAUCAAGAAUUUUCUGCAUUCAAGGAUAGUUUCUGAUGAUAUGAAAGUAAAAUAUUUUAAACCUGAUAGGAACCUUCAUAAUCAGUAGUGGUAAACAAACAUUUGGUGGUGAUUAACUUGUAUAGUUCAAUUUCAGAAAAAAGAUACUUAUUUAUGAAUAGCUGCCACAAAUACUUCAAGGGAAAUCAAAGGUCACUGGAGACUCUACCAGGACAUACAUCUGACCAAUACACAAAGUUUUGUCAGGAGAUAUAUCACACAGUUAAGGGCCUACAAAGAUGCAAAGGUUUAAGGCUGUACAACAUGCAAGACUACCAGACAUAAUCAGCCUAUACAAUCAUUACCAAGCUGCUUAGUGUAUGAUGGGUCCUCUACACCAAGAAACAUUGUAACCUAGCUAAAGUCUGCCACCUGUUCAGCUGACUUGGUCAUGAUGGUGAAAAUUAAAGUGCCUGAAAAUCCUCCUGUUGAUGACCUAGCAGUCAAAGUACCUCAGCAAAAAAUCAGACAUUUCUUAUUCAUCGUCUUUCUUCAAUUUCAAGAGCAAGGAGAUACAUGGAGAAUUCCUGUCUUUCACCUAUACUGAGCCUUCGAAGAUUUUCAAACACUAUUCAGCACGCUGUAUAUCCCUUGAGAAAUUUUCGAGACGGUUUCUUCAGCAGUGCCCUGCCUUGAAGUCUUACUUGAACAGUCAUGAUGACAGUGAAAUGUCAGGGAACAGUAUUCAAAGAUGUGCUGCCAGACUACCUGAUUCGUUGUUCAGCCUGAGUUACCACUUCCUUGAAUUCAUUAUGGGUCAUCUGAAUGAAUUCAGUACCACCUUUCAGGCUAGUGAGUCAGUGAUUGGUUAUCUCCAUCCAGAAAUGGAACAACUAGUGCGGAAGUUUUUAGGGACAUUUGUAUAGACCAAGGUUAUGACAUCUGCCAGAACCAUCACUGAAGUCCAUGCCGAGGAGAGGGAAAACCAACAUCCAGACAACGACCUGGCUGUGGGUAUGGGUACACUCCCUAUACAUACAUGACAACCCUGGUAUUCCAGCAGAAACCAUCAGAGAGCUUUUCAGUUCUGUGAGAGACUUUAACCUGGGGGGACCAGUAUGAUUGUGAAGAAGUUAUCCAUUGGUGAUAUUACCUAGCACAACCCAAUCUUCUCCAGGAUUAAAACCUACAGCCUUCUAAUAAAAGUCUUUUGUCGGACCUAUUGAGCUUACAGGCAGAGCUGGCUUGGUGGAAACGAUAUCAAAAGGCCUCUGAAACCAGAGAUUAUAUUUUAUGGUGAUGAUGUAGUGUGACCAGUUGCAGAGUUUGUGCAUAAGAAAGUUACGUAGAGUGAUCCUACAUUUUGUUGGAAUCCUUGUUGCAGAUAUACUCUGGUUACAGAUUUGCAGUAGCUGUCAGCAAUCAAGAAACCAGUAGCCACUCAAAGGACCCACAUGAGCAGACAAGUUGGCAAGAUUAUAAAUUCAAGCGAAGUUGCCAAAGUUCAAGUCUGGAGAUAUCAUUGGCAAAUCUUAGACAUUUUUAGAUAUAAGUUCAGUCAGUCAGUGUUAAAUUACGAUCCAUCUGCCCUUUCAGACACAACAAGGCAUAACUGCCACAUAGAGUAGUAGUAGACCGAUUUUGCUUAGAUUUAAUUUUAAAAUGACUUCAUUUAUAUAGUUUUCAGUCAAAGGCUUUUCUCGGUAUUUGUAUUUUAUUCUAUAUAUCAAGUUCUGGAAAAUAAUAUUGGAGAUGAGUUUUUAUAAAAAAAUAAAGAAAAUUAGAUUUUAUUGUUGAUGUGUUUUUAGAAUAAAUAUGUAUAAAGUGACUAUAGCAAAGGCAGAAUUACUUGCCACCAGCAGGCUAAAUAUUUGAUGUUAGGAGAGUAAUAAUAAGCAAAUAUGAAAAUAAAAUUUGAUUCGUGCCUUAUGAAAUACUGGAAUAUAUCAAUGAAAUAAAAUUGAUAUUUUCACUGUUUGAAAUGGUAAAAAUAUCUUUUUUUGUUUUUCACUGGUAUGUAACUAUACUUGAAUGUGAAAGAAUACGAAUUAUAAAACAUAUUUCAGUAAAGUUAAGAUAUAUAUAAAUAUCUACACGAACAUAAAGAUGUACGGCCAACCAAAAUAAAAUGUAAAUGAAUGUGGAAACAUCAUAGAACUAUUUGAUGAUUUUUAGCUCGACUAUUCGAAGAAUAAGUAGAGCUUUCCUACUCACCACGGCGUCGGCUUCGGCGUCACACCUUUGUUCAGUUUUUCGUACCAGUCCACAUUUUGACAAAGUCUGUUGAGAUAAAGCUUUGAUACUUUCAACACUUGUUUACCAUCACCAUGUCCAGUUAUAGGCAAGAGUACGUAACUCCAUCAAGGAUUUUGGCUGAAUUAUGGCCCCUUUCGACUUAGAAAUCUUGGUUAAGUUUUUCGUACCAGUUCAUUUUUUGACAAAGUCUUUUGAGAUAAAGCUUUGAAACUUUCAACACUUGUUAACAAUCACCAUGUCCAGUUAUAGGCAAGAGUACAUAACUGUAUCAAGGAUUUUAGCUGAAUUAUGGCCCCUUUCGACUUAGAAAUCUUGUUAAGUUUUUUGUACCAGUCCACAUUUUGACAAAGUCUUUUGAGAUAAAGCUUUGACACUUUCAACACUUGUUUUCCAUCACCAUGUCCUGUUAUAGGCAAGAGUACAUAACUCCGUCAAGGAUUUUGGCUGAAUUAUGGCCCCUUUUGACUUAGAAAUCUUGGUUAAGUUUUUCGUACCAGUUCAUAUUUUGUGUAAAGUGUUUGACAUAUGGCUUUGAAACAUUUAUCACUUGUUCAGUAUUGUAGUCUCUAUCUGUAGGCAAGAGUACCUAACUAUGUCAUCUAUUUUGGCUGAAUUAUGGCCCUUUUUGGACUUGGAAAUUGGUUCUAUUUUUGUACAAGUCCACGUUCUGUCAAAAUUAUUUGACAUAUGGCUUUUAAACUUUGAACACUUGUUAAUCAUCAUGAUUUCCAUCUGUAGGUAAGAGUACAUAAUUCUGACAACUAUUUUAGCUGGAUUAUGUCCCUUUUUGGACUUGGAAAUCAGUUAAAAUUUUCAUACCAUUCCAUAUUUUGUUUAAACUGUUAUGACUUUGAAACUUUGAACACUUCAUUAUCAUCAUGGUCAGACAUUGCCAUUUAAUGCAAGACUUAUCGAAAUGGUUUGCCUAAUUUAUUUUUUUCUUUUGUCUGAAAAUCUGUGGUAAUAUUUUGACCCCAUUCCUCAAUCAGUUCUUCAAAUAGUCGAGCGCGCUGUCAUCCGAAAGCUCAUGUUUAAGGUAGAUAUCUUGAUGUAACAACAUUUUGACUUCAUGACAAAAUGCACAAGCUGUUGCACAGGCAAAAUGGGAGUAAUUUACCGGUAGUUAAAACCAUUUAAAUAGUAUUAUAAAAACAUCAUUUGUUUGUUUUACAUGUAAAUUCAAAAUAUAUUUCACUUGUGAACACCAUAAUUUACAUUUUCACUUGUGGCUGUGCUUCUCGUGAAAAUAUUACAUAUGGUUUCACUCAGUGAAAUAUAUUUCAGUCUUACACUGAAGCAAACAAAUUUCUUUUAAGUGGCACAGAUUACUCAAAAAAGGCAAGUUUAUUAAUCUAUGGAGACAGCUCUUGAUUUUGUACCCCCCCCCCCCGACAACAAAGUUGUAAGGGGGGGUAUGCUGGUUUCAGGUUGUCUGUCUGUCUGUCCAUCUGUCUGCCUGUCCGUCUGUCUGUAGAUGCAAUCUUGUGCACACCAUCUCUCCUUAUCCCCUUGACAGAAUUUAAUGAAACUUCACACAAGUGAUCAGUACCAACAGUAGUUGUGCAUGGGGCAUGUUAGGUUCUUUUAGAAAAAAAUUUUCAGAGUUAUGGGACUUUGUUUUUUUGUUACUAUACUAUAUACAUAGACACAAUCUUGUGCGCACCAUCUCUCCUCAUCCCCUUGACACAAUUUUAUGAAACCACACACAAGUGAUCAGUAACAACAGUAGUUGUGCAUAGGGCAUGUUAGGUUCUUUCAGCGACAAAAAUUGUAGAGUUAUUGGACUUUGUUUUUUUGUUACUAUACUAUAUACAUAGACACAAUCUUGUGCGCACCAUCUCUCCUCAUCCUCUUAACACAAUUUAAUGAAACUUCAAACAAGUGAUCAGUAACAACAGUACUUGUGCAUGGGGCAUGUAAGGUUCUUUCAGCGACAAAAAUUGCAGAGUUAUGGGACUUUGUUUCUUGUUAACAUACUAUGUACAUACACUCUGCAUAUGCAAUCUUGUGCGUGCCUAAUCUACCAAACCCUUGCACACAAUUUAAUGAAACUUCACACAAGUGAUCAAUACCAACCCUAGUUGUGCACGGUCAUGUUACAUUCUUUUAGAUAAAUAUAAUGCAUAGUUAUGGGACUUUGUUUUUAGCUCACCUUUUUUUUCUGAUCGCUCGAUGUCCGGCGUCUGUCUGUCUGUCUGUCGUCUGUCGUCUGUCAACAUUUGGCUUGUGUAUGCGAUAGAGGCUGUAUUUUUCAACUGAUCUUCAUGAUAUUUGGUCAGAAUGAUAAUCUUGAUGAAAACUAGGCCGAGUUCGAAAAUGGGUCAUCUGGGGUCAAAAACUAGGUCACUAGGUCAAAUCAAAGAAAAACCUUUUGUAUGCGAUAGAGGCUGUACUUUUCAAUUAAUCUUCAUGAAUUUUGGUCAGAAUGAUAACCUUGAUGAAAUCUAGGCCGAGUUUGAAAAUGGGUCAUCUGGGGUCAAAAACUAGGUCACUAGGUCAAAUGAAAGAAAAACUUUGUGUAUGCAAUAGAGGCUGUAUUUUUCAAUUCAUCUUCAUGAAUUUUGGUCAGAAUGAUAACCUUGAUAAAAUCUAGGUUGAGUUCGAAAAUGGGUCAUCUGGGGUCAAAAACUAGGUCACUAGGUCAAAUCAAAGAAAAUGCUUGUAUAUGCAAUAGAGGCUGUAUUUUUCAAUUGAUCUUCCCGAAAUUAAGUCAAAUUAAUAACCUUAAUGAAAUCUAGGCCGAGAUUGAAAAUGGGUCAUUUUGGAUCAAAAAGUAGAACACUAGGUCAAAUCAAAGAAAAACCUUGUGUAUGCGAUAGAUGCUGUAUUUUUCAAUUGAUCUUCAUGAAAUUUGGCCAGAAUGAUUGCAUUGAUAAAAUAUUAGUCAAAUUUGAAUAUGGGUCAUCUGGGGUCAAAACUUAGGUCACUAGGUCAAAUCAAAGAAAAACUUUGUGUAUGCAAUAGAAGCUGUAUUUUUCAAUAAAUCUUCAUGAAAUUAUGUCUGAAUAAUAGCCUCGAUGAAAUCUAGGUCAAGCUGAAUAUGGGUCAUCUUGGAUCAAAAAGUAGGUCACUAGGUCAAAUCAAAGAAAAAACUUGUGUACACUAUAGAGGCUGUAUUUUUCAACUGAUCUUCAUGAAAUUUGGUCAAAAUGAUUGCCUUGAUAAAAUCUACAUUGAGUUUGAUUAUGGGUCAUCUGGGGUCAGAAAGUAGGUCACUAGCUCAAAUCAAAGAAACACAUGUGAUAGAGGCUGUAUUUUUCAACUGAUCUUCAUGAAAUUUUGUCAGAAUGAUAGCCUUGAUGAAAUUUGGGUCAAGUUUGAAUAUGGAUAAGCUGGGUUUAAAAACUAGGUCACUAGGUUAAAUAAUGGAAAAACCUUGUGUAUGCAAUAGGGGCUGCAUUUUACACUGAAUUUCAUAAUAUUUGUUCAGAAUGGUUGCCUUGAUGAAAUCUAGGUCAAGUUCGAAUAUGGGUAGUCUGGGGUCAAAAACUAGGUCACUAGGUCAAAUCAAAGAAAAACCUUCUGUAUGCGAUAGAGGCUUUAUUUUUCAAUUGAUCUUCUUGAAAUUUGGUCAGAAUGAUAGCCUUGAUGAACUCUAGGUUUAGUUUGAAUAUGGGUCAUCUGGGGUCAAAAACUAGGUCACUAGGUCAGAUCAAAGAAAAUACUUGUUUAAACUCAAUAUUUUUUGCUCCAAUUUUAAUGAUAAUUGGUCAGAAUAUUUUUUCCAUGAAAUCAUUAGGUCAAACAUGUUUACACUGUUAUGGUGUGUUAUGGUGUGUUUCUCAGGUGAGCGACCUAGGGCCAUCUUGGCCCUCUUGUUUGUUACUAUAUUGUAUACAUACAGUCUAUAUACAUACAGUCCACAUAAUUAUGCAGUCUUGUGUGCGUCAAAUUGCAAUGUACUGUGUCAUCACCUUUAGUGAUAGCUCUAGUUUUAAGAUUAACUCCCCUUAGUUGUUACUAUAAAUAACUUAUAUUGUAACAUUUUUAUAAUUGACCAUAGGGAAAAAACAAGACCACUUUUCUGUGGUACAACAUAGAUGUUACUUUCCAGUUUUAGGUGUAUUUUAAGGUAUCUCUACCUGGUAAGGAGUUUUUUUGUGGACUUAGAAAAACAAAAGGCUUACAAUGAUUACUAAACAACCACAAAACUGAAUUCAGUGAUGAUUUGCAAAUACAGCUGCUAGAGUAAAGAAAUUUGCUGUGACGGGCGUAUAUUGUGACAUUCUGGCACUCUUGUUCCCUGUUAGCUUUCCAUUCCUUCUUUUUACAGUAGCCAUAUAGAAAAACAUCAUAGCUGUGCUGUUCAUGAAAAUUAAUAAAAUUUAGCAGUAAA